CAGCAGCCGCGGUAAUACGGAGAGUGCUAGCGUUGUUCGGAAUUACUGGGCUUAAAGGGCGUGUAGGCGGAAAAGCAAGUGUCGGGUGAAAUCCCUCGGCUCAACCGGGGAACUGCCAGGCAAACUGCUUUUCUUGAGGCAGGUAGAGGUGAGUGGAACAACUGGUGGAGCGGUGAAAUGCGUAGAUAUCAGUUGGAACGCCGGUGGCGAAAGCGGCUCACUGGACCUGUCCUGACGCUGAGACGCGAAAGCGUGGGUAGCGAACAGGAUUAGAUACCCUGGUAGUCCACGCCGUAAACGAUGCGCACUAGGUAUGAGAGGUUCUGACACCCCUCGUGCCGAAGGAAAACUGCUAAGUGCGCCGCCUGGGGAGUACGGCCGCAAGGCUAAAACUCAAAGGAAUUGACGGGGGCUCACACAAGCGGUGGAGCAUGUGGAUUAAUUCGAAGCAACGCGAAGAACCCUACCUGGGUUUGACAUGCACGGAUGCCCUUUGGGAAACCAGAGUAAGCUGCCUUCGGGUGAAACGUGCACAGGUGCUGCAUGGCUGUCGUCAGCUCGUGCUGUGAAGUGUCGGGUUAAGUCCCUUAACGAGCGAAACCCCUAUCGUUAGUUGCCAGCGGGUCAUGCCGGGAACCCUAGCGAGACCGCCGGUGUCAAACCGGAGGAAGGUGGGGACGACGUCAAGUCAUCAUGGCCUUUAUGCCCAGGGUGUCUCACGUGCUACAAUGGUCGGUACAGAGCGACGCGAUACCGCGAGGUGGAGCAAAUCGCAGAAAACCGGCCUCAGUUCGGAUUGGAGUCUGCAACCCGACUCCAUGAAGCUGGAAUCGCUAGUAAUCGCGGAUCAGCCAUGCCGCGGUGAAUAUGUUCCUGAGCCUUGUACACACCGCCCGUCAAGUCAUGGAAGCUGGGAGUACCCGAAGUCCGCUUAGCUAACCGCAAGGAAGCGGCGGCCGACGGUAAGCCCGGUGACUGGGACUAAGUCGUAACAAGGUAGCCGUA
rnacentral:rRNA from 1 species